GAAAAGCCCUAACUACCAUAAGCAAUAAAUACCUGUACCCUAAACCGACACAGGUGGGUAAGUAGAGUAUACUAAGGGGCGCGAGAUAACUCUCUCUAAGGAACUCGGCAAAAUAGCCUCGUAACUUCGGGAGAAGAGGUACCCUUUAUGGGUUGCAAGAACCAGACGCUGGCGACUGUUUACCAAAAACACAGGUCUCCGCAAAGUCGUAAGACGAUAUAUGGGGGCUGACACCUGCCCAGUGCCGGAAGGUUAAGGGAGCUUGUUAGUCUUUGACGAAGCUCGUGACCGAAGCCCCGGUGAACGGCGGCCGUAACAAUAACGGUCCUAAGGUAGCGAAAUUCCUUGUCGGGUAAGUUCCGACCUGCACGAAUGGCGUAACGACUUCCCCGCUGUCUCCAACGUUGGCUCAGCGAAAUUGAAUUCUCCGUGAAGAUGCGGAGUACCCGCGGUCAGACGGAAAGACCCCGUGCACCUUUACUACAGCUUGACAGUGGUAUUAGCGGUAAAUUGUGUAGGAUAGGUGGGAGGCUAUGAAACCAGGGCGCCAGUUCUGGUGGAGCCAUCCUUGAAAUACCACCCUAUUUAUUGUUGAUAUCUAACCGCGGUCCAUGAACCUGGAUCCGGGACCCUGUCUGGUGGGUAGUUUGACUGGGGCGGUCGCCUCCCAAAGAGUAACGGAGGCGCGCGAUGGUGGGCUCAGAGCGGUCGGAAAUCGCUCGUUGAGUGCAAUGGCAUAAGCCCGCCUGACUGCGAGACUGACAGGUCGAGCAGAGUCGAAAGACGGCCAUAGUGAUCCGGUGGUCCCGCAUGGAAGGGCCAUCGCUCAACGGAUAAAAGGUACUCCGGGGAUAACAGGCUGAUACCGCCCAAGAGUUCACAUCGACGGCGGUGUUUGGCACCUCGAUGUCGGCUCAUCACAUCCUGGGGCUGAAGCAGGUCCCAAGGGUUCGGCUGUUCGCCGAUUAAAGCGGUACGUGAGCUGGGUUUAGAACGUCGUGAGACAGUUCGGUCCCUAUCUGCCGUGGGUGUUGGAAAUUUGAGAGGAGCUGCCCCUAGUACGAGAGGACCGGGGUGGACGUACCUCUGGUGGACCUGUUGUCGCGCCAGCGGCAUAGCAGGGUAGCUAUGUACGGAAGGGAUAACCGCUGAAUGCAUCUAAGCGGGAAACCCACCUCAAAACCAGGUUUCCCUUGAGAGCCGUUCUAGACUAGGACGUCGAUAGGCCAGGUGUGGAAGCGCUGCGAGGCGUGGAGCUUACUGGUACUAAUUGCUCGAUAGGCUUGAUC
rnacentral:rRNA from 1 species